rnacentral:misc_RNA from 1 species
GAUGAAGAACGUAGCGAAAUGCGAUAAGUAAUGUGAAUUGCAGAAUCCAGUGAAUCAUCGAAUCUUUGAACGCACAUUGCGCCCGCCAGCAUUCUGGCGGGCAUGCCUGUUCGAGCGUCAUUUCAACCCUCGACCUCCCUUUGGGGAAGUCGGCGUUGGGGACCGGCAGCACACCGCCGGCCCUGAAAUGGAGUGGCGGCCCGUCCGCGGCGACCUCUGCGUAGUAAACCAACUCGCACCGGAACCCCGACGUGGCCACGCCGUAAAACACCCAACUUCUGAACGUUGACCUCGAAUCAGGUAGGACUACCCGCUGAACUUAAGCAUAUCUAAGCGGAGGA